GUGCUCACUUCAGCAGCACAUACACUAAAAUUGGAAUGAUACAGAGAAGAUUAGCAUGGCCCCUGCACAAGGAUGACAUGCAAAUUCGUGAAUUGUUCCAUAUUUUU
ensembl:snRNA U6 U6 spliceosomal RNA